GUUGGUUUUUCAUAUCAUAAACAGAGUCAGAACUGAUAAGUUGUAUUUAUGUGUGAACAUAUUCAUAAAAACAUACUCAUUUAUUUAGCACCUAUUGUGUCUCUAUAACAGUACCUGACAUGUACUAGUAGCCACAAAUAUUUCUUAAAUAAAUGAAUAAAAACCAAGUCAUUAGAGCACCAUCAUAAUUUUUUCCUAAGUGCUCAGUUUCCUGGGAUUUGUUUGUUAGUGAUGGCUCCUUGCUUUCCAAGGUGAAUGGAAAGGAAGGAAGGUAAGGAAGAACUACAAGUAUCCAUUGUCACAGACAUAUGCAGCCACUGAAGAAUAACUAGAAUUAUCUUAUCCACCUUCUGGCUUACCAACACAGGCUCCUUCUGUAUCUAAUCACUUCUCAUUCCUUCUUUCCCUUACUCCAUUCAACCUUCAUGAAGCUGUCCAACAUUUCCUCACAACUGAAAAAUACAAUUCCUAUUGCUGCAGGUGUCCAUGUGUUUGGGGCAAAAAUGAGCCACUGCUAACAAUUGUAAAGAAAGAGAGAACAGCUGUUUGCAUCUGGAUAUGGGGUAAGAAAGAACAGCUGCUGGCAGCGGUGGCAGACAAGAAAGUGAGCAAAUGAGCAGCUGUUGGUAAUUCAGAAUCUCAUCAGCCACACAGAAUAAUUGAAAUCCAGAACCAUGCAGGGCUCGACUUAACAGCUUUAUUGCAUCCUGCUGUUCAUUAGAUCCUGCCUGUCCUCCAUUAGAGAUUCCUGUGAUAGCUACAUGAGGACUCUCAACAGGAAUAUCCACCCCGACAUCCCCAUCCACAACCCUUUGAAGAAGCAACCCAAGAGAGGUAAAAAGGCACAGACUUUUCUUCCAAUCUCUUGCCGGUGCCUUCUACUGGCCAAACCCAAUAGAAAAAUGGAGGAUCAGAGAAUUGUUUACGCAGUUUAUAUGCAUCAGCUCCCCUGAGGCACCAGGUGGAGUUUCCCUGAACAAGCGCUCUCUUUGCCUGCCACCAUCCACGUAAGACGUGACUUGCUCCUCCUUGCCUUCUGCCAUGAUUGUGAGGCCUCUUCAGCCAUGUGGACACAGUAGUAAGGACACAUUCAUAACCACAUAAGCUGGUUCCUGAAUUGAAUGUUCAUCCAUGCCCUGUGAACAAGUUCCACCACAGUUAGAGGUGAAAUUAUUGGAGAAGUUUCCAUAAAUCUGAGUCACUGAAGGGAAAUAAUGUUACUUUGGUCCUUUGCUCCUCUUUAUGAUUAAAAAAAAUUGUAAGAAAAGCCUCGUUUUUGCCCUAAAUUCAAAGCAUGUUAUAACAGUUAUGUAUCUUGGCAAAACUGCCUUAUUUAAGUAACUACUUAUUCCAACUUUGAAACAAAUGUAGGCUAACAUGCUGUAGGUGUUACGUGUCUGUACUUAAGAGUCUCAUGAAAUAUAAAACCCAUUCACUAUUAAAUUUAAGUUUUAUUUGAGGUUUAUUUAACUUUUUUUCAAUGUGCAUGGAGUUUAUGAAAAGGAACUUUGUACAAACCAUUCAUUUAAUUGCUUUUGAUUGCUUUGUUGGUUCACCAUGUACCAGGCAUGACAGUGUUUUGUGUUAAGAAAGUACAGUAUUGAAACAGCAGAGAAACUAUUGUCAUAGUUUAAUACAGAACUUGUCAGGGCCAGUACACUGAUGUUCAUUAUUUCAUGCAGGUAUCCCUGAAAAUGCUUUUGAUUAAUUAUGUACUUUUUUGCACCAUUUGGUUCUUUCAGAAUGUACAUAUUUUUUCUCUUCAUUUGCCAGUUAAUUACUACAUUCUGUUGAGGGAAAUAGUUAGAACAACAUUUUUUAGUUUACAGUAACUUUUUUCAGAAACAUAAACUAUAGAAAUUCUUUAAUUUUCAGUACUAUACGUUUAAAAUUAUAAAGAGACAGUUACCAUUUUCUGUACCUAAGAGUUUGCUUAAGAGAACUCAAUUUAAAAACACUAUGUCAAGUAAGCAUCUAGCAUUGUAAUGAAUUCUAUAGAUACAUUUUUUCAAAGAUAAGAUUAGCUUAUCAGUUUUUUCUGACAAAGAUACUUAGAAAAAAAUACAAGAGAAAUUUAAAAAAUAAGAUUUUAAGAAUGUGUUAAACUGGGAGUUUGGUUAAGCUUUAUUUAAAGUUGUUACAUAAAUUUUAUCUUCCAUUGCUCUCCCUAUCUUUCUUAGUAUGAUUUUCUCUCAAUUGUGGAUACACUUGUAUAAAAUUCUAUAAAGCAAUUCACAUUGAGAUACUCUUGAUUGAAAUCACUAAAUAUUCGUUGAACAUCUCCCCACUGACCUAACACUGUGCUUGGGACUAUAAGAUUGCCUUCUUUAAUCUUCAGACUAUCCCCCAAAGUAUUGGCAUUAUCAGCACACUUGUCAAGAAUAGAGGAUCCCAGACCAACUAAAUUGUAAUCUUCAUGUUAACAUAAUUCUUGAGUGACUUGUAAGCACAUUGAAAUUUGAGACACAAUGGUCUAGAGCAGUGAUUCUUAAACUUUAAUCAGAUUCACCUGAGGGGUUUGUUAUGGGUCUAUACUUGAAGAAUCUCCGGUCUAAAGUGAUAAAAGAGGCCAAAAGUUAUCUUUGUCUUUAAUAAUUGUAUUAUAUAGCUGAGAAGAAAAUUUUUCACACAUCGAAUAAUUAGAGAGCAAUUGAAUGCUUAUCUGUGUGCCUUUGACUUUCUCUUUUGAGAAGGGGAAGAUUAAUGUGGUGUUAGCUUGUCAGGAAAAAUUCCAUUACCUGGGAAAGUUAUGGUACCACAGAUGGAAUUGAGAAAGGUGGAAAGUAUGGCAAAUUUUUAAGAGAAAAAGAUAUGUUUAAAGAGGCUGAUAGGCCAUCAAAGAAAGUGCAUACCAAUGGCAGCUGGAACUACAUGAGCCUAGCACAGCUAAAGCUAAGAUUAAAAGUCUGUAAGCAUCUUGAGGGCAGGAACCUUACCUUGUUCACUUUUCUAGUUUCAGUACUAAUGAUGUACCUGACACACAGUAGGUGUUUAAUGCUUUCUGUGGACUUAAUUAAUAAAUCAAUUUAGAUGUGAUCCUUAAAGCCAUACCUGUUAUAAAUAUUCUCACUCAGAUGCAUUUAAUGUGGUCUUGAAAGAAGACCACAGCCAUAACCAAAAGGCUUAACCCCAAAUCAGAAAUCUUUAAUAGUGGAUUUUCAGGUCCAAAAGUAGCCGGAAGAAAAGUACUUUUGGUAGAAGAUAUUUAAUUUAUGACACAGCCUAUAAUGAUGCUAGUAUACAGGAAACUAUAUAUAUAUGCAUUCUAGUUGGUUUUUGAAAAUUGCUUGUUAUUCGUUAUCUUAGAAAAAAUAUUGUUAGCAAUCUUAAAUA
rnacentral:lncRNA from 10 species